rnacentral:rRNA from 1 species
UCAAAAACAUGGUCUUAUGGGUUUUAUACAAGAUCAGGCCUGCCCAAUGGUUUGACUUAAUGGCUGCAGUAUUUUGACUGUACAAAGGUAGCAUAAUCACUUGUCUCUUGAUUGGGGACUGGAAUGAAGGGUUUGAUGAAAAAUAGACUUUCUUUUGUAUAUUAUAAAAACUUAAUGUUUGAGUGAUAAAUCUUAAAUUUAGUUAUAGGACGAGAAGACCCUAUAGAACUUUAUUACUAUUUUAAUGUGUUUUUUUUGUUAAAAAAUAUACCAUAUUUUAUUAGUAAUUUUGUUGGGGUGACAGAAAAAAAUAAUAAACUUUUUUAGGUUUUAGACAUAAAUUUAUGUAAAGAUCCUUUAUUAAAGAUAAUUAGAUUAAGUUACCUUAGGGAUAACAGCGUUAUUAUCUUAUAGAGUUCUUAUCGAUGAGAUAGUUUGCGACCUCGAUGUUGGAUUAGGAUUAAUAAUAGGGGUAGGUUUUUAUUAUAUAAGUCUGUUCGACUUUUUAUUUUCUACAUGAUCUGAGUU